CUCACCAAGGAGAAGCAAGAAAAAGGAAGAACAAAACCCUAGGUGAAAAAAUUCAAGGGAAAAGUGUGAAAAUUCAAGGAAACAAGUGAUAAAAGGUUAGAUUUUUUCAAUUAAGCUUGAGAUCUCUCUUUCUUAAGCAUUUUUUUCUUAUUUUCCAUGGUUGAAUCACAUGAAAUCAUGAUGAAUCCCUUGCUGGCCGAACACUUGGAGGGAGGUUUUGAUGCUUAAUUUGGUUAUAUUUCAAUGUAUUUUAGUGUUUUUAGUUAGUUAGUGAUGUGUAGCAUGGAAAUCAAGCAAGAAAAAUUCAUGUUCUUCCAUAACCCUUAUUGGCCGUAUUCUCCAUGUGGAAUAUUGAUGAUGAUUUUGAAUUUAUUUCAAGUGAUUUGGUUAGGAAUUAGUGAUUUAUGGUGUGAGAAUCAAGCUUGAAAAAUUAUAUUGUUAGUGAACCCACCAUGGCCGAAAUUCCCAAGAGAAAAUGUGAAGAUGAUUUUGCCAUAUUUCAAGUUAUUUAAUUUGUGUUUGAUGAUUUGGAGUAUUGGGAGAGAAAUGGAAUUAUUUGGAGUUGAAUUGGACGUAUUGGCCAAUUAAUCGGGUGAUAGAUCGAAUUAGGCCAAUAUCGUUUUAUUUAGGUACACAAUUGAAUUUGUGUAGAAUACCGUGUUUAGACGAUAAUCUAAACAAUUUACAUCCCAUUUCAUGCAUUAGUAUAAAGCCUGAAUUGGUUUUACAACGGUUUAGCAUAAAUGUAGAAAAUGGCUUAUUGUGCAUUAUGUUUAGGUGGUGAGCAUUCUGGCAAAAGUAAAGAGAUAAUACCCGAGGAUCAAGAAUCAGAGUCCUCGAAAUUUGACUCCCGAAAUAGUGAGUAACCUUACUAUCAUCUUAAUUAUCUAAAGUGGUUUUUAUCUGAUUUUAUGAUUUUAUGGAAAAUGAGUUAAAUGGUAAAUCUUUGUGUUUUGUAAUUAAAAUGUGAUUUAAUGAAAUGAUUUUAUAAAAUUGUCUUGAAAUUGAAAGAUGGUUUUGAAAAUGGAGUAAUUGGAGAAUAAUUGUUGUGUUAUAAAUCAUGGUUUGAAUUGAAUGGCUUUUGAUAAUAUUGGCAUGAAUGGUUCAAUUGGUAAAUGUACUGAAAAUGUAUGAACUGGUGAUUUGCCUUGAGAGGCUGUAAAAUAAAAUAAUUGACAUGUCAUGCUAUCGCAAAUUUUAUUGUAUGGUGGGUUUAGCUUGCUGCAGUGAGCGAGUUCCGUGGACCAACCUAUUAGAGGGGCACGGUAACCCCGUUAUAUUCUUACCUCGGUCGGAGAGGCGUGUAGGGUAACUCUUGAGGUACAACUUUAGAGUUCACUUCACGCCAAACCACCACGUGAGGGUGAACUCAGUCAAUACCAAGGAAUGGCUAUGUUUUCAAAAUAAAAACAUGAUUUAUGCGUACAUGAUUUUUUUUUAUUAACAGCCUUAGCGGACUCGGUUGGGAUAGCCCCAAGCCAAGGUAUCCGAGCCAACCGAGUAUAAGAAUGAUUUUGGCAUGAGCCGAAGUUUUAAGAAAUUCAUAAGCCAUUUUGAUUACUCGAUUUAUAUGAAUUGAUUUUAUUUAGUUGAAAUGAGUUGAAAGGUGAUGAAUUACAGUAUGAUGAUCUAUUUCAAUCUAUCUCCAUUUACUCAGCUUUAGACAUUUUAGAUGUUAUUUGUUUAUUCAUUGGGAUUAUAUAAUUUCACCAUCCUCAUUUCCACUCAUUUCAGGCUCAAGAUAGUCGAUAAAUAGCUCAUUUCGUUGAGGGCUACAGUUGGACUUGCAUCCUCAAAAACUGUAGGUUUACCGUUUUUGAUACUUUUGGUCGUUCGUGGGCCCACAUGUCACUAUAAAUUAAAUGUUAUGCUUUGGUUAUCUAUAUUACAAUAUGUUUGAAUUUAUUUAGCUUUUACGUUACAAAAAUUAUUUACC
rnacentral:lncRNA from 1 species